UAAGGCCCCCAGUAGAUGACUGGGUUGAUAGGCCGGAGGUGUACAGCAGUGAUGCCCAGCCGACCGGUACUAAUAGGCCGAGGGCUUGUCACC
rnacentral:rRNA from 1 species